GUGGGGAAUAUUGCACAAUGGGCGCAAGCCUGAUGCAGCGACGCCGCGUGAGGGAUGACGGCCUUUGGGUUGUAAACCUCUUUCAGCAGGGAAGAAGCGCAAGUGACGGUACCUGCAGAAGAAGCACCGGCUAACUACGUGCCAGCAGCCGCGGUAAUACGUAGGGUGCGAGCGUUGUCCGGAAUUAUUGGGCGUAAAGAGCUUGUAGGCGGUUUGUCGCGUCUGCUGUGAAAAUCCGGGGCUCAACCCCGGACUUGCAGUGGGUACGGGCAGACUAGAGUGUGGUAGGGGAGACUGGAAUUCCUGGUGUAGCGGUGAAAUGCGCAGAUAUCAGGAGGAACACCGAUGGCGAAGGCAGGUCUCUGGGCCAUAACUGACGCUGAGAAGCGAAAGCAUGGGGAGCGAACAGGA
rnacentral:rRNA from 1 species